ACGGGUGAGUAAUGCUUGGGAAUCUGGGUUAUGGUUGGGGAUAACUACGGGAAACUGUAUCUAAUACCGCGUAAAUCUUCCGAUUGAGGGUGGGACUUUCGGGCCCCCUGCCAUGAGAUGAAUCCAAUUGGAAUUAAUUAGUUGGUAAGGUAAGGCUGACCAACCCCAACAUCUCUACCUGGUCUUAAAAGGUUAACCUGAGACUGGAACUGGAACACCGGCCCAAAUCCCUCCGGAAGGAGCAAUGGGGAAAAUUGGGCCAUGGGGGGAACCCCUGUGCCGCCAAGGCGGACGAACUGAGAAAGGCCUUCGGUUUUUAAGCUUCUUUCGGUUGGUGAAAGAGUAUUUGUUUUAAGCGUCUAUUAUUGUGACUUUACCCACAUGAAACUCACCGACUAUCUCCGUCCACCUCCCCGCGGUUACCCAGGGGGCGCAGAGUUUUAGCGUAUACAUCGGGGUAUAGGGGACACAGGGGGCGUAAGUUAAUGAGGGGUGUAAAUGCGGGGGCUCUCGUGAAUAGCGCUUUAACUGGGAAACGCUGUACUACUGGGAGGCGUAGAAUACUCAAGUAGCAGUGAAAUGCUGAGAUAUGUGGAGGAAUACCGACGGCAACGGCAGCCACUCCCGAACGAACUUACGCUCCUGUUCGUAAGUUUGCGUACGGUAGCUGGAUUAAAUCCAC
rnacentral:rRNA from 1 species